rnacentral:lncRNA from 1 species
ACCCCAAGAGUUACAACCGAAUACGACUAAGAUUCAAACAAGGUAGACAAGACUCUUACAUAUAAGGUAUACUAAAAUAACUAUAGAAAAAAAAAUAAUGACUAUCAUCCAUAUGUUUCCCAUAGCUAUGAUAAAGCCUUCAUCAGCUCCUGUCUUAAGUCUUCAUCGGGUCCUGCCCCAUCGGCAGCAGCCUCCACACCUUCCUCCAUC